rnacentral:rRNA from 1 species
UACACGAGUGAGAAUGCCGGAAUGAGUAGCGAGAAUUAUGUGGGAAUCAUAAUGGCCGAAAAUCUAAGGUUUCCUGGGGAAGGUUCGUCCGCCCAGGGUAAGCCGGGAGCUAAGGCGAGGCCGCGAGGCGUAGUCGAUGCACAUACGGUAGAAAUUCCGUAGCCACCUCACACGAGAAAGCUGACACAUGGAGAUAGUCGAACCCGGCCGUUGGUUGCGCCGGGCGAAAGGGACCGAACUUAUAGUAGGGAAGUCGAUGAUGCUCUGUGGCGAGAAAAGGCGAAGUGAGGUGCCCGUACCGCAAACCGACACAGGUAGAUGAGGAGAGAAUCCUAAGGCCAACGGGAGAAGGGUUGUUAAGGAACUCGGCAAAUUGGUCCCGUAACUUCGGGAGAAGGGACGCCCUCGAAAGAGGGUCGCAGUGAAUAGGCCCAAGCAACUGUUUACCAAAAACACAGGUCUCUGCUAAAUCGAAAGAUGACGUAUAGGGGCUGACGCCUGCCCGGUGCCGGAAGGUUAAGAGGAGGGCUUAGUGGCAACACGAAGGCUUGAAUUUAAGCCCCGGUAAACGGCGGCCGUAACUAUAACGGUCCUAAGGUAGCGAAAUUCCUUGUCAGGUAAGUUCUGACCCGCACGAAAGGCGUAAUGAUUUGGGCACUGUCUCAACAGCCCGCCCGGCGAAAUUGUAGUACCGGUGAAGAUGCCGGUUACCCGCAACUAGACGGAAAGACCCCAUGGAGCUUUACUGCAGCUUAAUACUGAGAUUCGGUAAAUCAUGUACAGGAUAGGUGGGAGACUUGGAAACAUGGCCGUCAGGUCGUGCGGAGUCAUCCUUGGGAUACCACCCUUGGUUUGCUGGGUUUCUAACCUGCGGCCCUGAAUCGGGUCGGGGGACACUGUUAGGCGGGCAGUUUGACUGGGGCGGUCGCCUCCUAAAGAGUAGCGGAGGCGCUCAAAGGUUGGCUCAGCAUGGAUGGAAACCAUGCAAUGAGUGUAAACGUAUAAGCCAGCCUAACUGCGAGACCGACGGGUCGAGCAGUAACGAAAGUUGGAGUUAGUGAUCCGGUGGUAUGUGAGUGGAAAUGCCAUCGCUCAACGGAUAAAA